CGUUCUUCCAAAUCAGGUUUUUCACUAAAUGUCAAAAGUGCAUAUAGUCCGGCUUAGAUUGGAGUCAUCCAAUCGAAUAAAACAAGACACGAACCUUCCAUGAGCUUCAAUCCGACAUCUUACGCUGAUAUAAAUCAUUUCCACAUCGCUAAAACUUCGGACAAAGAUCUUGUUGAAUGUUCCCGCUAACGCCGCCCCGAGAAAACAUGUGAUGUGCCCUGUUAGCUUCCGCGACAAUGUCGGGAUGUUGAAGGUGAGAUCACAUUCGUGGGGCUUUAGCCUCUUCACUCGAGAGGGAUGUUAUCAUACCGGUCGGGCUAAAAUCGGAAAUUCCGUGCCCCACGUCGUCAAUUCGCCUUGUAGCACUUUCGAAUCCAACCGGGUGCUGAAACACUUGUCUAAAGAGGGUCGAAUUGAUGAGGCCCGGAAGCUGUUCGAUGAAAUGCUCGACAGAGAUGAGUAUUCGUGGAACACAAUGGUUGCCGCUUAUGCCACUUCAGGGAGGUUAGAUGAGGCUAAAGAGCUUUUCGAGGAGACUCCAAUUAAGAGUUCGGUUACUUGGUCUUCCCUCAUUUCGGGGUAUUGUCGACAUGGGUGUCCUGGUGAAGGAUUUAAGUUCUUCUGGCGAAUGCAGUUGGACGGUCAGAAGCCCACCCAGUUUAGCUUGGGCAGCGUGCUUAGAGCAUGCGCCUUGUCGGGUUCUCUCCAAAGAGGCAAGCAGAUUCAUGGCUAUGCAAUGAAAACGAAUUUCGGCCUUAAUGAUUUUGUUGUCACGGGUCUUGUUGACAUGUAUGCAAAGUGCAGAAGCAUCUCUGAGGCAGAGUAUCUCUUUGCGACGGUUUCUGAAAGGAGCAAUCAUGCACUCUGGAGUGCCAUGAUCACCGCGUAUUCUCAGAAUGGUGAUGCAUAUAGAGCAAUGAUGUGUGUUAAGGAAAUGAGGAAGCAAGGAAUUGAAUUCGAUGAGUACAGUUUACCUAGUAUACUUGCAACUUGUGCAGCGGUUUCAGCUGAUGCUUUCGGGGCACAGGUGCAUUGCUGCAUCAUUAGGAGUGGGUAUGGACUUAGUGCAUUUGUUCAGAGUGCGCUGGUUGACAUGUAUGCGAAAUGUGGAGAUCUGAGCAGUGCUAAGUUGGUUAUAGAGGCUACGGAGAUUGAUAGUGUGGUUUCUUGGAACUCAAUGAUUAUGGGUUGCAUGAGGCAGGAGUGUGAAGAGGAAGCACUAUACCUUUUUAAGAAAAUGCAUGGAAGAGAUAUGAAGAUUGAUGAUUUUACUUACACAUCUGUUCUAAAGUCUCUUGCUUCCAUGAUGGAUUUGAAACUCGCAACAUCUGUGCACUGUCUGAUCCUAAAGACGAGAUUUGAGGCUUAUCGACUAGUAAGCAAUGCACUCAUUGACAUGUAUGCUAAACAGAGAGAGAUCACUUGUGCAUGUGAGGUGUUCAAGUGUUUGCUGGACAAGGACGUCAUUUCAUGGACUUCCCUGGUCACAGGAUAUGCACACAAUGGCUUCUUUGAAGAAGCUCUCAGGUUGUUCUGUGACAUGACAGUCGAGGGGAUUUAUCCUGAUGAAAUGGUUGUUGCUAGUAUUUUAAGUGCUUCUGCAGAAUUGACAGCUCUAGAAUUUGGGCAACAGGUUCAUGGAAUUGUUGUGCAAUCAGGCUUUCUUGAUUCACAAUCUUCAACAUCAGUUGGCAAUUCUCUCAUCUCAAUGUAUGCAAGAUGUGGAUGCAUAGAAGAUGCUGAUCGAGUGUUCAACUCAAUGCAAGUACAUGGCUUAAUCACAUGGACAGCUCUUAUCAUGGGUUAUGCACGUAAUGGCAAAGCAAAAGAAUCUUUACAGUCCUACAAUCGUAUGAUUGCUGGUGGAGUAAAGCCUGAUUACAUCUCUUUUAUUGGCCUAUUAUUUGCAUGCAGCCAUGCCUGUCUUGUACAAGAAGGUCGCAUGUACUUUGAAUCCAUGACCAAGACUUAUGGAAUAAAGCCAGGCCCUGAGCACUAUGCUUCAAUGAUUGACCUGUUAGGGCGCUCUGGAAAACUUGCUGAGGCUGAAGAAUUGCUUAAUCAAAUGUCUGUGGAACCAGAUCCAACAAUAUGGAAGGCACUACUCGCUGCAUGCCGGGUACACAAAAACUUGGAACUGGGAGAGAGGGCGGCAAGGAAUCUUUUCAAACUGGAACCUAUGAAUUCUGUUCCUUAUGUUCUCCUAGCUAAUAUAUAUUUUGCCUCUGGUAAACUGGAAGAGGCUGCAAAAAUUUGGGGUUUGAUGAAAUCAAGAGGAAUCAAUAAAGAGCCUGGUUGUAGUUGGGUUGGGAUCAAUGGCCGAGUUCACACCUUUGUAUCUGAAGAUAGAGGGCAUCCAAGAAUGUAUGAUAUAUAUUUAAAGAUUGAUGAAGUAAUGCAAUUAAUCAAGAAAGCUGGUUAUGUUCCAGAUUUAAGUUCAGCGUUACAUGAUGUCGAUGAAGAGGGCAAAGAGCUUGGUCUUGCUUAUCACAGUGAGAAAUUGGCUGUUGCCUUUGGGCUGCUUGCUGUGCCCCAUGGAGGCCCAAUUCGAAUUUAUAAGAACCUUCGGGUAUGUGGUGACUGUCACGUUGCCAUGAGGUAUAUAUCACAAGUGUUUAGUCGCCAUAUAGUUCUGAGGGAUUCAAAUCGCUUUCAUCAUUUUAGGGAAGGGGUCUGUUCAUGUGGAGAUUAUUGGUGAAAAAUACAAAUCCCUUCAUGCUUCCCGUACAAAGAAUGGUUAAGCUAUGCAUCAGUGCAUCCGAGGUUGUGGCGGAACUGAAAAGGCUUGAGGAUUUUGAACUUUUGUUGAUGAAUUUUGGAAUUUUCUUAGCAUUUUUGAAUUGCUUACUCUAGGGCGGCCAUUCUACUAAGAAAAGGGCAUAGGCUGAUCAAAAGCUAAACAGAAGAAUAAUGUGGAGCAGCAUUUACACUCAGUGGAGAGAAUUGCAACGGAUAUACAUCCACACAUGGCUUCUAUAUCCCUGAAGCUGUUGCAAUCGAUGUUGGUUUGUUUUCGGUCACUAAACCUGGUGAUGAUCAGAUCUAUCGAGGAGGCACAGGCCAAGAAUUUGAAGAUGAUAUAGCAUUGCAUGAUGAUAAGUUGUGACCUGCUUCUUAUGAUUUGACCUAUCGCUCAGUUAUUUCUUUAUUCAAAUCUCUUAAGAACGAAUUGUCUUUUUAGGGAUUGGGAACCUCAUUCAAGCAAAUUUCAGGAUGCUGAACCAAUUUAAUUUCAAUUAUGGCAACAAUUGGUAGUCGAAAUGGAAGAUGCAAGCAGACCUCAAGGGCUGAGAGUUUGGCCCGCAACAUCUCUUGAUGCGGUCCUUGAGGUUAGUUGCCUAGCUCAAGACUUAUCUGGAUAUAUUUUCCGACUCUGAAUAUUUGGUAUUUCUCCUUAUAAAUUCAAAUUUGUUAUGCAAACUCGAAACAGAGGAUAUAGUCAACUUUAAGAAGGUGCUGUAAGAUAACAGAUAGGCAAAUAAGAGAAGUGCAGACUACACGCAUAAGUGACCCAUCUAUCUGGCUUGUCCUGCAAUAGACUUUUAUUCUCCUUACUUAAUCAAUGCUCCACACACUAUUUAAGCUGUGAUAAUGUAGGUCUGGUAAAAGAGGUCUUUUCUUACUUCUUUAGAUGCAUAAUUGGGGAAUAAGCAUUACCUCUUUAGAUGCUUAAUCGGAAAUAUGCUGGAAAUUCAAUCCUCUUCUUAUUAGCAACCAUAUUUGUCAGUUCAUUAGUGAUUAUGGACUUCCCUUGUUCUUUGUAUUGAGCAUAUUAGUAUUUUGAAUAUAGCAAAAUAAGAAAGCAAGCAACUUCCAAUCAAGCUAUGGAUAAAGAUAUGGUAUCACAGCUGUAUUUCCAAACCCCAAUUCCAAAAUUGAGAGGUUGCGGAAGAUGACUCAUGCUGUAAUAUGUAUACUUUUUUUUUUUUGGUCGGAUGUAAUAUGCUAUGCUGAUAUGCUAUACGUUGGAAAGCUAAUGAGCAUAGCAGACAAUUGAGCAUGAACUAGGAAACCUUCUCAAAAUAGGAAAACCAACCGGAACAGGAAAGCUACUCAAAUUAGGAAACCUAGUUAAAUAGGAAAUGUACUUAAAUUGGGAAACUACUUAAACUAGGAAACAUUCCUUCAGUCUUGACCCAGCUAAAUCAGUCUAUGUUGUUCAACUUCUAGAAACUCCAUCUGGAGCGCCUUCUGUUCAUUGUACCCAUCAAAUCAUUAUGUUGAGACCAAAAUUUCCCUUUGCUUGCACAAAUAUCAGAUGGGUUUUGUAGAUUGACGAGGCUUGAGUUGGGAUUGUGAGUUGUUUCUCGUCAAUGAAAUUUCCAUAACUUUGAUUCUCCUGCAUCACAUGCAACUUCAAAUACACAUAUGGUGUCACAGCUGUAAAUUCCAAUUCUGAUUUCCAAAAUCAGGAGGUUUGGAAAAGAUGAACCUUGGGGUAACAUGUAUAUGUUGGUAAGCUAAUGAACACGGUAGACAAUUGAGUUUCUAACUUUUUCCAAUUAUGCAUGUAAUGGAUUUUUGGGUAAUAUUAUUUGAUAUUUUUCCUAAAAGUUUUUGAAACGUAUUCUUGCUUAGUGGUGAUUAUAUAUUAAGGAAGCAGCCUUCGUGGUGAGUAUCUGAUACAUUCAACUUGAGAAGAUAAACAAUACAUGGAAGGCAUGGAGGCUAGGGUUUUGAUGGUUGUAUGCACACUAUUAGGCCUUGUGUCUGUAGGUGUAGCAGCACCGGGGAAUGCAACUUUCUAUGUACCUCAUAAGCCAUCGGAUUGCCCUGGAGUGAAGGGACCAGGGCCGAUGGUUGCCGCAGCUAGCGACUCCAUCUGGAAUAAUGGAGCCAUAUGCGGGAAGAAGUUCAAGGUGACAUGCAUAGGCCCUCCGAGUACUGGUCGGAAAUUCCC